rnacentral:rRNA from 1 species
UACGUAGGUGGCAAGCGUUGUCCGGAUUUAUUGGGCUUAAAGGGUGCGUAGGCGGCCCCAUAAGUCAGUGCUGAAAUAUCCCGGCUUAACCGGGAGGGUGGCAUUGAUACUGUGGGGCUUGAGUAAAGUUGAGGUUGGCGGAAUUGACGGUGUAGCGGUGAAAUGCUUAGAUAUCGUCAAGAACACCGAUAGCGUAGACAGCUAACUAAGCUUUAACUGACGCUGAGGCACGAAAGUGUGGGGAUCAAACAGG